GGUAUUUUUGAGUGCUGGCUUCACCCUGCUCAAUAUCGAACACGUCUUUGCAAAGAUGAGACAAAUUGCACAAGAAGGGUUUGUUUCUUUGCUCACAAGCCUGAAGAGCUUCGCCCCUUGUAUGCCUCAACGGGUUCGGCUGUGCCUUCACCAAGAUCCUUCUCAGCCAAUGGUUCAGCACUGGACAUGGGUUCUGUCAGUCCACUUGCCCUUGGUUCUCCACCUGUCUUGAUACCACCUACUUCCAUGACUCCCUCUGGGUCCUCAUCUCCUAUGGUUGGAUGGCCCAACCAGACUAGUGUUGUACCCCCUAUCUUGCAGCUUCCUAGUAGCAGGUUGAAAUCUGCUCUGAGUGCUAGAGAUAUGGAUGUAGACAUGGAGUUGCUUGGGCUUGACAGUCACCAUCGCCGGCAACAACAAUUGGUCAAUGAGAUUGGUUUCUCGUCACCUUCCGGUUGGAAUAAUGAUUUGUCCACUGCUUCAGCUUUUGCUGUCUCAGGUGAUCGAACUUUGGAGUUGAAUAGGCUUGGAGGAGUGAAGCCAACUAACCUUGAAGAUAUUUUUGGAUCUCAUGAUCCUACAAUUUUGCCUCAAUUGCAGGGACUCACAGUGGAUUCCACUGUAUCCCAGUUACAGUCUCAAACAGGGAUUCAGAUGUGCCAGAACAUAAACCAGAAGCUCCGCUCAAGCUACCCUACCAACUUCUCAUCUUCUCCUGUGAGGAC
rnacentral:misc_RNA from 1 species